CUCACCAAGCACCCUGAUGUUUAACUCUUAAAAAGUUCUCUUCUUUCUUUGACCCCAUAAUGUCUAAAGCAA